GACGAACGCUGGCGGCGUGCUUAACACAUGCAAGUCGAACGGUGAAAGAGGAGCUUGCUCCUCUGGAUCAGUGGCGAACGGGUGAGUAACACGUGAGUAACCUGCCCUUGACUCUGGGAUAAGCGUUGGAAACGACGUCUAAUACCGGAUACGACCCGCGGAGGCAUCUCCUGCGGGUGGAAAGAACUUCGGUCAAGGAUGGACUCGCGGCCUAUCAGCUAGUUGGUGAGGUAACGGCUCACCAAGGCGACGACGGGUAGCCGGCCUGAGAGGGUGACCGGCCACACUGGGACUGAGACACGGCCCAGACUCCUACGGGAGGCAGCAGUGGGGAAUAUUGCACAAUGGGCGCAAGCCUGAUGCAGCAACGCCGCGUGAGGGACGACGGCCUUCGGGUUGUAAACCUCUUUUAGUAGGGAAGAAGCGAAAGUGACGGUACCUGCAGAAAAAGCACCGGCUAACUACGUGCCAGCCGCCGCAGUAACAC
rnacentral:rRNA from 1 species